rnacentral:rRNA from 1 species
CCCUUAGAUGUUCUGGGCCGCACGCGCGCUACACUGAUGCAUUCAACGAGUCCAACCUUGACCGAGAGGUCCGGGUAAUCUUUGAAACUGCAUCGUGAUGGGGCUAGAUUAUUGCAAUUAUUAAUCUUCAACGAGGAAUGCCUAGUAAGCGUGAUUCAUCAAAUCGCGUUGAUUACGUCCCUGCCCUUUGUACACAUCGCCCGUCGCUCCUACCGAUUGAGUGUGUUGGUGAGGAGUUUGGAUUGGCCUCGGAAGGUGGUUCGCCACCGUCCGUAGCUGAGAAGUUCUCCAAACCGCCCCACUUAGAGGAAGGAGAAGUCGUAACA